GUGUUGCUGGCCUCUAGGGGCAUGUGCACGCUUCACUAGUCUUUCAACCACCUGCUGAACUUUUGAUAGAUCUGUGAAGUCGUCCUUCAAGAUCGUCAGACUUGGUUUGCUGGGAUUUAAACGUCUCGGUGUGACAACGCAGUCUAUUUACUUAACACACCCCAAAUGUAUGUCUACGAAUGUCAUUUAAUGGGCCUUGUGCCUAUAAACCAUAAUACAACUUUCAACAACGGAUCUCUUGGCUCUCGCAUCGAUGAAGAACGCAGCGAAAUGCGAUAAGUAAUGUGAAUUGCAGAAUUCAGUGAAUCAUCGAAUCUUUGAACGCACCUUGCGCCCCUUGGUAUUCCGAGGGGCAUGCCUGUUUGAGUGUCAUUAAAUUCUCAAACUCACAUUUAUUUGUGAUGUUUGGAUUGUUGGGGGUUGCUGGCUGUAACAAGUCGGCUCCUCUUAAAUGCAUUAGCAGGACUUCUCAUUGCCUCUGCGCAUGAUGUGAUAAUUAUCACUCAUCAAUAGCACGCAUGAAUAGNAGUCCAGCUCUCUAAUCGUCCGCAAGGACAAUUUGACAAUUUGACCUCAAAUCAGGUAGGACUACCCG
rnacentral:rRNA from 1 species